rnacentral:rRNA from 1 species
UGGGGAAUAUUGCACAAUGGGCGCAAGCCUGAUGCAGCCAUGCCGCGUGUGUGAAGAAGGCCUUCGGGUUGUAAAGCACUUUCGGUUAGGAGGAAGUUAUUUAGGCUAAUAGUUUAGGUAAUUGACGUUACUGACAGAAGAAGCACCGGCAAACUCCGUGCCAGCAGCCGCGGUAAUACGGAGGGUGCGAGCGUUAAUCGGAAUAACUGGGCGUAAAGGGCACGUAGGCGGUGAAUUAAGUUAGAUGUGAAAUCCCUGGGCUUAACCUAGGAACAGCAUUUAAGACUGGUGAGCUAGAGUUUCGGAGAGGGGGGUAGAAUUCCAUGUGUAGCGGUGAAAUGCGUAGAGAUGUGGAGGAAUACCGGUGGCGAAGGCGGCCCUCUGGCCGGGAACUGACGCU